rnacentral:rRNA from 1 species
GAGGGUGAUCGGCCACACUGGAACUGAGACACGGUCCAGACUCCUACGGGAGGCAGCAGUAGGGAAUCUUCCGCAAUGGGCGAAAGCCUGACGGAGCAACGCCGCGUGAGUGAUGAAGGUCUUCGGAUCGUAAAACUCUGUUAUUAGGGAAGAACAUAUGUGUAAGUAACUGUGCACAUCUUGACGGUACCUAAUCAGAAAGCCACGGCUAACUACGUGCCAGCAGCCGCGGUAAUACGUAGGUGGCAAGCGUUAUCCGGAAUUAUUGGGCGUAAAGCGCGCGUAGGCGGUUUUUUAAGUCUGAUGUGAAAGCCCACGGCUCAACCGUGGAGGGUC